GUCGCAUCAGCACCGUCCCUGAGCUGACGGAGUCCUUCAAGAGGAUGCUGCGCUUCCGCAACCACAGAGUCCCGUCACUGACUGAUUCGGAUAGCGCCUGUCUGAUCUGCCGUGAAGAAAUGCGCAGGAGAGGUGGAGAACCAGGAAGAUCAGGCCAAGAACUUCACUGUUCUCAUCGCCUCCAUAAAGAGGUGAGGAGGCUGGAGCAGGGUGCGCGUCGACGUAGCCAGAGUUCUGCCGCUGUGCGUGAAAACAGGAAGGAAGUACCAUUCUGCAGCGAGCAGGAAGAACACCGUCUGCCCCGCCAACAUCGGUCUCUACGCAGACAACGCUGAGCUGAGACACACCGAGCAUUUCGAUACGAGAUCGCAGUCAUGACUCAAUUCUUUCUCAGUAAAAUCUUUCCUUCCUUGCUUUUUAGGCAUUUUUUUUUGUUCUCUAAUUUUCCUUAUACGGG
ensembl:lncRNA